rnacentral:rRNA from 1 species
UAGGGAAUAUUGCAAGAUGGGCGAAAGCCCGAUGCAGCAACGCCGCGUGGGCGAUGAAGGCCUUCGGGUCGUAAAGCCCUUUUUGAGGGGAUGAGGAAGGACAGUACCCUCAGAAUAAGCCUCGGCUAACUACGUGCCAGCAGCCGCGGUAAAACGUAGGAGGCGAGCGUUAUCCGGAUUUACUGGGCGUAAAGCGCGUGCAGGCGGAUUGGAGAGUUGGAUGUGAAAGCUCCCGGCUUAACUGGGAGAGGUCGUUCAAUACUUCCAGUCUUGAGUGCAGUAGAGNGAAGUGGAAUUCCGGGUGUAGUGGUGAAAUGCGUAGAUAUCCGGAGGAACACCAGUGGCGAAAGCGGCUUCCUGGACUGUAACUGACGCUCAGACGCGAAAGCUAGGGUAGCAAACG